rnacentral:rRNA from 1 species
UACGUAGGGGGCGAGCGUUGUCCGAAGUUACUGGGCGUAAAGCGCGCGUAGGCGGUUUCUUAAGUCUGGGGUGAAAGGUUCAACGCUCAACGUGAACAGUGCCUUGGAUACUGGGAGACUUGAAUGUGGCAGAGGAUAGUGGAAUGGCUGGUGUAGCGGUGAAAUGCGUAGAUAUCAGUCGGAACACCCAUGGCGAAGGCAGCUAUCUGGGCUAACAUUGACGCUGAGGUGCGAAAGCGUGGGGAGCGAACGGGA